GAUCAAUGGGAUUGUAGUUGCAAAGAGUGGCAGCUUAAUGGAUUGGCUUGUUGCCAUAGUAUUGCUGUUUCUGAAUACCUAGGAAGGAGCCCCUAUGAUCUUUGCUCCCGAUACUUCUCAACUGAGAGUUACCAUGCAACAUAUGCUGAAUCAAUUAACCCCAUACCUCAUUUGGAAAAACCGAUUAAAGGUGAACCAGAUAUGGAGCACAUGGUCAUAGUUGUUACUCCUCCACCAACAAAACGUCCACCUGGUCGACCAAAGAUGAAAAAGGCAGACACUUUUGACAUAGUCAAACGUCAGAUGCAGUGCAGCAAGUGUAAGGGCCUAGGCCACAAUAAGAAGACGUGUGGGAAGGUGAAUA
rnacentral:misc_RNA from 1 species